GAUUAACGCUGGUGGCGUGCAUAACACAUUCAAGUCGAACGGAGUUGGUGCUUCGGUAUCAACUUAGUGGCGGACGGGUGAGUAACGCGUGAGCAACCUGCCUCUUAUUUCGGAACAACACAGGGAAACUUGUGCUAAUACCGAAUAACACAUACGGUUUGCAUGGGCUGUAUGUCAAAGUGAUUCAGCGAUAAGAGAUGGGCUCGCGUCUGAUUAGAUAGUUGGUGAGGUAACGGCUCACCAAGUCGACGAUCAGUAGCCGGACUGAGAGGUUGAACGGCCACAUUGGAACUGAGAAACGGUCCAGACUCCUACGGGAGGCAACAGUGGGGAAUAUUGGGCAAUGGGCGCAAGCCUGACCCAGCGACGCCGCGUGAAGGAAGAAGGUCUUCGGAUUGUAAACUUUAGUCAACAGGGACGAAUAAAUGACGGUACCUGUGGAGGAAGCCACGGCUAACUACGUGCCAGCCGCCGCGGUAAAAC
rnacentral:rRNA from 1 species